GGCCAAAACAAGCCUUUGAUACAAUUGCUGCAAGACUACAAGGACAUACCAAAGUCAAAUAAGAAUGAUAUAAAUAAAGACUCAUUCAAAAGUAGUGUAUGUAGGAAGGGUUUAAUAUUAAUAGGAAGGGUUUAAUAGGAAGUAGGAAGGGGUUUAAUAUUAGUAGGAAGGGUUUAAUAUUAGUAGGAAGGGUUUAACAUUAAUAGGAAGGGUUUAAUAUUAGUAGGAAGGGUUUAAUAGGAAGUAGGAAGGGUUUAAUAGGAAGUAGGAAGGGUUUAAUAUUAAUAGGAAGGGUUUAAUAUUAAUAGGAAGGGUUUAAUAAGAAGUAGGAAGGGUUUCAUAUUAAUAGGAAGUAGGAAGGGUUUAACAUUAAUAGGAAGGGUUUAACAUUAAUAGGAAGGGUUUAAUAUUAAUAGGAAGGGUUUAAUAUUAAUAGGUAGUAGGACGGGUUUAAUAAGAAGUAGGAAGGGUUUAAUAUUAAUAGGAAGUAGGAAGGGUUUAACAUUAAUAGGAAGGGUUUAAUAAGAAUAGGAAGGGUUUAAUAAGAAGUAGGAAGGGUUUAAUAGGAAGUAGGAAGGGUUUCAUAUUAAACGGAAGUAGGAAGGGUUUAAUAGGAAGUAGGAAGGGUUUAAUAUUAGUAGGAAGGGUUUAAUAUGAAGUAGGAAGGGUUUAAUAGGAAGUAGGAAGGGUUUAAUAAGAAGUAGGAAGGGUUUAAUAGGAAGUAGGAAGGGUUUAAUAUUAGUAGGAAGGGUUUAAUAUGAAGUAGGAAGGGUUUAAUAGGAAGUAGGAAGGGUUUAAUAAGAAGUAGGAAGGGUUUAAUAUUAGUAGGAAUGGUUUAAUAGGAAGUAGGAAGGGUUUAAUAGGAAGUAGGAAGGGUUUAAUAGGAAGUAGGAAGGGUUUAACAUGAAGUAGGAAGGGUUUAAUGAGAAGUAGGAAGGGUUUAAUAGGAAGUAGGAAUGGUUUAAUAUGAAGUAGGAAGGGUUUAAUAUGAAGUAGGAAGGGUUUAAUGAGAAGUAGGAAGGGUUUAAUAGGAAGUAGGAAGGGUUUAAUAUGAAGUAGGAAGGGUUUAAUGAGAAGUAGGAAGGGUUUAAUAGGAAGUAGGAAGGGUUUAAUAGGAAGUAGGA